rnacentral:tRNA from 2 species
GCGGCCAUAGCUCAGUUGGUAGAGCACUGGAUUGUGAUUCCGGUUGUCGCGGGUUCGAGCCCCGUUGGUCGCCCCA